ensembl:lncRNA
AUGUUGUGGUCUUUGCUCAGGGAAGCGACGGCCUUCUUUUCUUGUAGUGUAAGGUUAGACGGAGGGACUUUCACACUGGAGAGGGUGGCUGAGACUUUCAUCCUGAUUUGCUCUGCUACUGUCUGUGAUAAUUUAUUAAUCCGUAUGGCGGUUUCUGUGGCUGUGAUGAGGUCCACUAUGGGCAACUGUUGCGGAGAAAUGGCGAAAUUGAGUCCUUUGGCUAAAACCCAGAGCAGAGUUGUUCCUAAGAGCUUGCGCCUCGGAUCCACUGUCAGGGGACACAGAGCAGACUUGAUUCUACAGAGAGCACAGAAUCACCUUUUAAGUGAAAGGAUAAGACAGGUCCAUUUCACUAUAGAUGCCCUCCAGAUCAAGAUCAGUCAGACUCUGCAGGAAUUGGAAACCCUUCUACCCUCUCCAAUCUUAGAAGAGGUUCACAAGUUUGUGGACAAGGCUCAGCGGGCCCAACACUCUCAAGGAAAAGAAAGACAACGCAGGAAAUUUCACACCUUGCUUUCAAAAACCCACACUCCUCAGUCUGAAACCACACAACUCAGAGAAGAAAACACACCUGAAGACAGUCGGGAGAAAUGGGUAAAGAACUUUUCAGACCGGAAUCUCACUGAACCUGAAAAGAGGGUUUUAGCCAAAGGACUCAAUUUCGCCAUUUCUCCGCAACAGUUGCCCAUAGUGGACCUCAUCACAGCCACAGAAACGGCCAAAUACAAAUACAACGAAGGCUUCUACAGACAAAAACACGGCUGUGCCAUGGGCUCCCCUGUGUCACCUAUUGUAGCCAACCUUUACAUGGAGGAAGUGGAAAGAAAGGCUCUUGGCUCUUUUAAAGGGAGAGCACCCAGCCACUGGUACAGAUAUGUAGACGACACCUGGGUCAAAAUCAAGACACAAGAAGUGGAAUCCUUCACUGCGCACAUUAACGCCGUGGAUAAAAACAUCAAGUUCACCAGGGAAGACACAAAGGAUAACUGUUUGCCUUUCCUGGACUGCGCUGUGCACAUUGAAGAGAAUGGCAACCUCAACAUUGAAGUUUACCGGAAGCCCACACACACGGACCAGUACCUCCUCUUUGACUCCCAUCACCCUCUGGAACACAAACUUGGAGUAAUUAGGACCCUACACCACCGGGCAGAACAUGUUCCCUCUAAGCCUGAAGGGAAAAAGAAGGAACACACACAUGUAAAGGAAGCACUUAAAACAUGCGGUUAUCCUAAUUGGGUGUUUAUAAAGUCAGCAAACAGGCACAGAAAAGAAGAUCAGACACCAGCGAGGGAGGAUAAGAAAGACAGACGCAACAACGUUGUCAUCCCCUAUGUAGCCGGUGUAUCAGAGAAACUCAGGAGAGUUUUCUCCAAGCACGACAUCCCAGUGUACUUCAGACCCAGCAACACACUCAGACAGAAACUGGUUCACCCGAAAGACAAAACUCCUAAACACAGACUGAACAACGUGGUGUAUGCUGUACAGUGCAGCGAGGAAUGCCCAGACCUCUACAUUGGCGAGACCAAACAGCCACUUCACAAGCGCAUGGCACAACAUAGAAGAGCCACCUCCACAGGACAAGACUCAGCAGUUCAUCUGCAUCUUAAGGAUAAAGGUCACUCUUUCGAGGAUGCCAACGUUCACAUAUUGGACAGAGAGGACAGAUGGUUUGAAAGAGGAGUGAAAGAGGCCAUCUAUGUCCACUGUGAGCGACCAUCUUUGAACAGAGGCGGUGGUUUACGACACCAACUGUCUGCCAUCUAUAAUCCAGUUUUGAGUUCCCUCCCCAGACGCCUUAACGCCCACUCACAUCCUGGGCCAUCUGACCUCAGGAAUUCACAUGACAAGGUGGGGCCAGGUUUCACAAUGAGCUCACCCGAAACCCUGGCUGAUUAG